GAGUUUGAUCGUGGCUCAGAGUGAACGCUGGCGGUAGGCCUAACACAUGCAAGUCGAACGGCAGCACAGAGGAGCUUGCUCCUUGGGUGGCGAGUGGCGGACGGGUGAGGAAUACAUCGGAAUCUACUCUGUCGUGGGGGAUAACGUAGGGAAACUUACGCUAAUACCGCAUACGACCUACGGGUGAAAGCAGGGGAUCUUCGGACCUUGCGCGAUUGAAUGAGCCGAUGUCGGAUUAGCUAGUUGGCGGGUAAAGGCCCACCAAGGCGACGAUCCGUAGCUGGUCUGAGAGGAUGAUCAGCCACACUGGAACUGAGACACGGUCCAGACUCCUACGGGAGGCAGCAGUGGGGAAUAUUGGACAGUGGGCGCAAGCCUGAUCCAGCCAUACCGCGUGGGUGAAGAAGGCCUUC
rnacentral:rRNA from 1 species